rnacentral:lncRNA from 1 species
AGGAAAGGGAAACAUUGACCGGACGGGAAAGCCACGAUUCACAGCCGUGAUUCCAGAAAGGGGCCUUUGUUGAAUCUGUAUUUGGCUACACCAAUAGAAGAAAGCCAGUCAACAUCAUGUUGUGAUCGUCCCUGGCUCUUUUCUUCCGAGCUGUUUAUGAAGCAGGGAUCUCACAGGAAGCUGGGCUGUAAAGUUCUGGGCAGAGAUCUUGGAUGUGAGUCAUGGAAAUGAACCUGAACUGAGAGUUGCUUUCCAAAGACUAUCUCACCACUGGGAUUCAGGCUGAACAAAGGAGUUAGAUUCAAAACAGGGAUUCUCUGUAUAGCCCUGCUGUCCUGGAACUCAUGCUGCAGAUGAGGCUGACCCUUGAAGUGAGAGAGCUGCUUGCCCCUGCCUUCUUACUGCUGAGAUUAAAGGUCUGUGUAUCAUUUUUGAGAUAAACUCAGUGUAAACUAUAAGGCAAAGACAUGUUCGAAUUUAAUCUACAUAUAACACCCAGCAUGGAGAGAAUCAGAAACCAAGAGCAUGGUGUACUCAGUCUAACCCACAGGUUAUGGGCCAGAGCUUCAUAAUGAAAUAGUGAAAUGAGAAUGUAUGUUUUUUAUCAAGGAGUUCAUUGUCCUUUCUGGUACACUACACCACCCAGUGCCUAAUCUGUCUAAAGAGGCAGGGCUGACACAGCGACCUCCUCAUGUGGAAUCACCCGGAACCAUUUCUGUUCCAGCUCUUCUGUUUUUUGGCAAGUGCAUGUGAGUUUCUGGAUGACUUAUACUGAUUUUAGAUCAAGCAUGAGACUCAGAAUAGUUACUGGGUGACAUAAAAUGACAGAAACACCUUUGUACUGAGCGGAACUUCUGUGUUGGUGAAAUGAUAAAUAUAAAUGCAAACGAAAACUAA